CGGCGGACGGGUGAGUAACACGUGGAUAACCUACCUAUAAGACUGGGAUAACUUCGGGAAACCGGAGCUAAUACCGGAUAAUAUUUUGAACCGCAUGGUUCAAUAGUGAAAGACGGUUUUGCUGUCACUUAUAGAUGGAUCCGCGCCGCAUUAGCUAGUUGGUAAGGUAACGGCUUACCAAGGCAACGAUGCGUAGCCGACCUGAGAGGGUGAUCGGCCACACUGGAACUGAGACACGGCCCAG
rnacentral:rRNA from 1 species